rnacentral:rRNA from 1 species
UACGUAGGGUGCAAGCGUUGUCCGGAAUUAUUGGGCGUAAAGAGCUCGUAGGCGGUUUGUCGCGUCUGCUGUGAAAACCCGAGGCUCAACCUCGGGCCUGCAGUGGGUACGGGCAGACUAGAGUGCGGUAGGGGAGAUUGGAAUUCCUGGUGUAGCGGUGGAAUGCGCAGAUAUCAGGAGGAACACCAAUGGCGAAGGCAGAUCUCUGGGCCGUAACUGACGCUGAGGAGCGAAAGCAGGGGGAGCGAACAGG